CAGUUGUACAUGAAAGUUAAUAUUUCCAGGACCCUGCGUGGGAUACCUUUCCCAGAAUUCAUGUUCUCAAUGGGAAACUGAAAUAGCGUGUGAGAGUUACCCUAAGUAGAUUUAAAUAAUUAAAUUCAAAAAUUCUCAAACCACUUGCUGUUUCAAAUUUAUUUCUUUAAUAACAACUCAGACUCAGCAACAGACUGGAUUAAGGUUUCAUUUAUUCGAAAUUUAAGGUAUAUCCAGCUCUGAGUGUUGUUUUUAAGUAUUUAAGGGGAAAUUUGUGCACGGUGAAAAUGAAGAGACUGCAGCAUUAUAAAUUCAUUUCCUCUAUUAGAAUCAGGGCCGCGCCUGCCCACUGCAGCUGUUCGGAAGGCAGGGCGGCCAGGCUGGAGGGCGCACCCCGGCAGCAGACGACCCUUUGUUUCCCCAGAGAGGAGACUUGGCCGGCCCCACACCCUUCACGGGAACUAUUUCCUCAGUGGCGCCAGGCAGUUGGGCAGGAUCAUCUGGUGCGGUUUUCAUGUGGCAAAGCAAAAAAUCCUCCGGGAUUCCAGGGUGACUUCUAAAGAUCCACUUUCAUCCGUGACCUCAAACCCUGCCUUGCACCAGGCCCCAAAGAUGAGAGGUCAUUGCGGCCUGGGCAGGAUUCACUGACCUCUGAAACCACCCUCCCUGAUCCAUCCAGCGAAAGCCGAGAGCGACUCAGAAAACAGGUGUUACAUGGCAGAUGAGAAAAAGAGGACAAGAUGAGUGCCUUUUCCAAUACAGUAGAAUAACUUCUGUCUCUCCUUACAUUGUCUGCUUCCUGACCAGCCAGCGAGCUGCUGGAAGGCCUUGAGUUUCUUGGGGCCGGCAGGGUAUCUCCUCCGGAGAAAGUUCAGCCGGCGGCAGGGACACUCUGCAAGCUUAUCCUGACCCCCAGUGGCCGGCCCUGUCAUCGGACCUACACCGGCUCCCACUCUCGCCGCCCCUUGGUUCCCUACCUAGCUAGAUCCCCAGGACCCAGGCACCAGGAGUUUUAAUUGACAAUUAAAACAAACUUCGGUUCUCACCAGAAUCGACUGAGUGAAAUUUCGCAACUGCAAGUUUCACAAUUCAAUUCCCUUGAAGCAAAACCAACAGUUUCCCUGAGGUUUCACUCCACACCUCUCCAUUUGUUGUUUAACUUCCCCUUCAAGUUUCCCUUCCCACACAGCAUUUUAUUUGAGAGUCAGGCCUGGAAACGGUUUAAUUAUGUUCCUGGGGGUCCCCGCCUCGUGCCUGCCCCGGCGCUGAGUCAGCACCUCCGCGCAGCCAGGAUGGGAAGGGAGCGCGCUCCCGGCCCAGGCCCGGAGCUCCAGCAGGUGAGCAGCACCCAGUUGAAAAUUCUGGAGGCUUCCCUGGUGGCCCCGUGGGUAAGAAUCCACCUGCCAAUGCAGAGGACACGGGUUUGAUCCCUGAUCCAGGAAGAUCCCAUGUAUCAUGGAGCAACUAAGCCCAUGCACCACAACUACUGAGCCUGCACGCUAGGGCCAGGGAGCCACAACUACUGAGCCUGUGAACCACAGCUACUGAAGCCCACAUGCCGAGAGCCUGCGUUCCACAAUAAGAGAUGCCGCUGCAAUGAGAAGCCUGUACACAGCAACAAAGAGUGGCCCCUGUUCGCGGCAAAUAGAGAAAGCCCAUGCACAGUAAGGAAGACCUAGUACAACCAAAAAUAAUAAAUAAUUUUUUUAAUGUAAUGUGGCUGAAGAAAUAAAGGCUCCAGAUGAAUGCUGCAGGUUGGUUGUGCAAGUAGAUUGUAGAAAUUCUAGUCCAGGUAGGAGGCUUUGGAGGUCUCAUCUCUACCACGGUUUCCUGAAUCAUGAGGCAGCAUGAGACAGACCUCAUUUUAUUGUGCUUUACAUUAUUGCGCUUUGCAAAUACUGAGGUUUCUACAAAUCAAAGGUUUGUGGAAACCCUGUGUUGUUAGAUGAUGGUUAGCAUUUGUAACAAUAAACUUUUAAAA
ensembl:lncRNA